rnacentral:rRNA from 1 species
UACAGAGGGUGCAAGCGUUAAUCGGAUUUACUGGGCGUAAAGGGCGCGUAGGUGGUUAUGUAAGUGAGAGGUGAAAUCCCCGGGCUUAACCUGGGAACUGCCUCUUAUACUGCAUAGCUGGAGUACAAUAGAGGGUAGUGGAAUUUCCGGUGUAGCGGUGAAAUGCGUAGAUAUCGGAAGGAACACCAGUGGCGAAGGCGGCCCCCUGGGCCGUACCUGACGCUGAGGCGCGAAGGCUAGGGGAGCGAACGGG